UGUUGGUGCGAACCAUAGCCUAUCCAACAAGAAGGGAUGAUAAUGAAAGGCAAUGAGAUUGUUUGGAGAAAAACAACAACAGCUCCAAGACACUCCAAAUCAUUAGAAAAUAUAACAACCAGCAUGGUGUGAGGCCAGCUAUGCCAGGUUAAACCCUGAAGACACCAAAGGGUGUCAAAACAAGAACCCAUGGAACAGGAGAGAAUGGCAGGGGAAGGCCAGCUGAGCUCAGCGGGUCUCUACUCUCUUCCUCUGAGCACCACACCUUUUUUACUGUAAGUUCUUAAUGGGAAGUGAUAGUGGGGGGAGGGAGUGACACCCAGGAGAGUCGGUGCAUACAGACCAGCUCUUUUUGCUUCACACACCUGCUGAUAUACACACAGUCUCCUCCUGUCAGGAUCCUCAUGGGGAACAUGCCUUAAUUAAACUUAAGUAUUAAUGAGGAAGUUCAGUCCACUGUCAUUGUUGUGUUUUCCGCAUACAAAACCGCUGAGGUGUGUGACAGUACCAGUGUAAUUCAUUAGGUUUGUCCUGCUGCACGUGAGAUUUACACUUUGUCUGCCAAUAGACAUCAAAUGUCCUGUGUUUGAUCAUGUUCUACAAAUGCAAGACAUCCUCAAAUGUCAAGUUUGGUCGUGGUCUUGAAUCUGGUUCUAGAUUAUUCAGAGGACAGAAAAGGACUUUGAGAAUUUUCCAUGACCAUCUUAAUUUUUUAAUUUUUACCUUUAGCACGAAGAGUUUGGGAUGAAGGGUUAGUUAACGACCAGGUCAUGUUCUCUUUCUAUAUUCGUAGCAGUUUCUUUUCUGUUCUGUUAAAACCUAAAGGUCCUCAACGGUUCAAAGAGAUUGAUUGGUGACUAAACAUCCUUUACUGUCCCAGGUAUAUACGAUGUCACGACAUUUGCCAUCAGCAGCUCUGAGAUAUGUGCCAAUACAUCAGCUGUUGAUACUACCCCAUGGUUAUAGACACCUACACACCAUCACAGAUGGUGUCUUUUACACCUUUGCUGUGAAAUAGUAUGGAGGGGUUUUUUUUUUUAAAGCUAUGCCACCAGGCAUUUGAUAUUCCAAAAACCAAGCAGACACAUGGACCUAGAAGAUUCCAUCACGUCAGAAUUCUCUGCUAUCUUUCCUGUGAAACUUUGUUUGUGAUAGACAAUUGUCUCCGUGGUUUCUCAGCGUCUCAACCCACUCCUGCUUGAACAAGGGCCAAGUGUUGUGUUGCAUGUUCCAUCGUUAAAUCGGAUUCAACACCCCCUCAUUGAGGACCACCGUCUUAGCAUUUACUGCAAAGGUGUAAGCCAGGUCCCAGAUGUUUUACAUGUAAAUGAGCUCACCUUCUCACUUUGCUGUGUGAGAACAAACACGUGUGUGUGUGUGUGAGACAAAGGCAACAAAAUAACAUUGAAUUUAUUCACUUUUCUCCAAACGCAUAGUUAAACAGUUGCUGUCCUCACAUCUAGGUGUUUCAUUUUCACCUCACAUUCAAACUGAAUUUAUUUUCAGUGCUGCAGCCUCACCAGUCACAUACAAACCCUUUACUGCAAAUUAAAACACACACACACAAAACAGAUGCACGCAUUAACACAUCUGACAACAAUUCUCUCCAGCACUGUUGUUUGUUAUACACCAGCUUCGCACACACACAUACACACAUCUCCUUUUUCCUCUCCAUCUCUCUCUUGUCCCCUCCCCUCCUCUUCCUCUCCACCCAUCCCUAGUCACAGCUCACUGUCAACAGAGCAGGAUUAGGAGCAUUUGACUGGCUUGUUGCUAAGCAACUGUAGCCACGGCAACUUAUUCAUUAUGAAGACAGGGAUGGGACAGGGAAAAUGCAUCAGGGAAUGGGUUGAUGGGUAAAUUUUGUACUGUAAUUCUUAUGGAGUGCUUUUGGUCUUGGGUGAGUCGGUGCAUUAAACAAAGCUGGGCGUCAGUCUGGCUGCACUGCUUUGUUCUCUGCCUGUGUGACAGCCUUUUGAAGGUUAGGAUCACUAAGACGUUCUGUGGACACAACAAAAUGUGUCUCCUCUGAUGAGGACCUUCUUAGUCUCUGAAGCAGCCUGGAAAAUCAUAUCUCUAACAAACGUGCGUUAGAUAGAUUGUUUACCACACAUUAAGAUAUUUUUUAUAUUUUCUUUCCAUAUUCUAUGCAAGCAGUCAAAUAUCAGAACUGAUAAAAAAAAUGCAAUUGUGAAACUUUUAGAAAAGGAGAAGUAAAAAUAGAAGAUGUGAAAAAAUGACCUGAAACCAUUGCUUACCCCCUAACAAUUAGACAAACCCAGUUGUUGCAAUGUUAUUAUUAUUUCAUAAACCGUCCACCAUCCAACCCAGGCCGUCCUCCACCGACGUUAGCCAACAAUCUAACAGACCAGACGUUUGUUUGUGACUGAUUGAAUUUGUAUAGACUCUUUGGCAGUGGAACAUCUUCUGUUGAUCGUUCCUUGUUUUCCCAUUCCGUCUAUAAUUGUUCUUUAUUAUAAUAACAAGUUGUUUUUCCUUGUACCUGUGAACUCCCGUUGCUCCAUUCUGCUAAUUCUCACAGGUACAGACUUGCACUUUAGUCUGUGAACUCAAUUAACACCAUACCGCAUUUUUCUCCUCAGACUUUAUUUUUAACUUGCAAAACUAAUUGAUUUCCUGUUCUGACCUGACACAAUGUUCACCCUGUUUUAUCCACACCAGCCUUCAGUUUUCAGGCCAGCUCUGUUACAGGGACAUUUGCCCCAAGUUUGUGAUGUAGCUCCAAAACUAUUUCUGAUCCAGACAGUUAAAACCACUGAGGUAAACUUAGGUACUGCAAACUCCCAAAGACAUAGGGAUUUAUUGCUGUGAAGUAACAGAAAAUAGAUGACCCACCAUUGUAUCUGACGUUGACCCCACUUUUAUCCAAGCAUUCAAAUAUACAGCGACUAUCAGAGUAUUCAAAAAACAUAAGCAGGAGGAGGAUGUGCUGGAAUUAUUUGAAUUCCAGAACUAUUUAAAGAAGAUAAUGGCAUUUUUUCUUUUUCUUUCCAUGUAGAAAUACUUAAGGGAGGCUGCAUGAGACGUUGCAACCUCUUAAUGUUGACAAAGUAAAGAGGGAAAUGAUCUAUUGAAUGUUCCUGUGUGAUUGUUUUGGUCUUUUUUUAAUGUGCGGACUAAUAUUUGCAUUAUGUAUUUGUGUUUGCAUUUCUUUUAAAAACACAAAGUACCUAAGGUAUCUAAUAUCAAAACAUGGCUCACCAAAGAUUAUCCACCAAAAAUAGAUUCUCUUCUUUUAGGAAAAUCAUUCUAUUGAUAUCUAUAAUUUUGUUGGACAUUAAAUAUUGAAAUAUUACUAAGAUAUUUAUGUUCUCUCUGGCUUUCAGGUCAUCAGUUUUAGACAUCUUGUAGCAGUGAAAAUUGAAAUUUUCAU